UUAACAAACCUAAACAUGUACUAGCACAAUACGCCUAUUCCACAGGCCAACAAAUGUAUUUGAAUUAGGUGAAGAAAGAAUCAAAAGUGUUAAUUGCAGAGAAAAUGAGAUAAACAAGGAAGAUGUAAUUCAAGGAAAGCAUGAAACAACCCUGAAGCUGCACUCCAGCUGAAUUUAGGACAAACCCACACAGUCUGGCUGUCACUGUGCCCACCUAACCAGUUUCCCAUCAAGUCAUCUUGUAUCUGUGCUUGUUGGUGCAAAGAAGUGAAAAAGGUCUUCACACAGCUCCAGGUUACUGUAAUCUGUCUUAGUCGCUCAUGUCUUGUGGCAUAGAUGAUAAGGAAAUGUCCCCCAGAUGCACAAGACUGAAUCAUCAGAAUCUGUCAGUCAUUCUUGCAAGUGAAAAUGGUGUUCACAAAGUGGCUUGUUCAGUUCACAACUCAAACGUUCUCCUGGGUGCUGUUGCUUGAGAAAAGGCUUGUACUCCCUGGCAGAUGUGAUUCAUGUCUGUUUCCAUUGCAUCAUCUCAA